rnacentral:snoRNA from 1 species
UUGCUUGAUGGGAAUUCUUCCUCUGUUCCUUGCUCUAUUAGGAGUAAGACUUCAGUAUCUACAAUAUGCUAUAUCAAAUAAAGGCAUUUUCAGGGUUGCUGGCCCUGCAGAGAAGAUUGUGAUAGUCUAUAUCUCCUACAUUA